rnacentral:rRNA from 1 species
CGCCUAACACAUGCAAGUCGAACGAGAGAGAAGGAGCUUGCUUCUUCGAUCGAGUGGCGAACGGGUGAGUAACGCGUGAGGAACCUGCCUCAAAGAGGGGGACAACAGUUGGAAACGACUGCUAAUACCGCAUAAGCCCACGGGUCGGCAUCGAUCUGAGGGAAAAGGAGUGAUCCGCUUUGAGAUGGCCUCGCGUCCGAUUAGCUGGUUGGUGAGGUAAUGGCCCACCAAGGCGACGAUCGGUAGCCGGACUGAGAGGUUGAACGGCCACAUUGGGACUGAGACACGGCCCAGACUCCUACGGGAGGCAGCAGUGGGGAAUAUUGCACAAUGGGGGAAACCCUGAUGCAGCGACGCCGCGUGGAGGAAGAAGGUCUUCGGAUUGUAAACUCCUGUUGUUGAGGAAGAUAAUGACGGUACUCAACAAGGAAGUGACGGCUAACUACGUGCCAGCAGCCGCGGUAAAACGUAGGUCACAAGCGUUGUCCGGAAUUACUGGGUGUAAAGGGAGCGCAGGCGGGAAGACAAGUUGGAAGUGAAAUCUAUGGGCUCAACCCAUAAACUGCUUUCAAAACUGUUUUUCUUGAGUAGUGCAGAGGUAGGCGGAAUUCCCGGUGUAGCGGUGGAAUGCGUAGAUAUCGGGAGGAACACCAGUGGCGAAGGCGGCCUACUGGGCACCAACUGACGCUGAGGCUCGAAAGUGUGGGUAGCAAACAGGAUUAGAUACCCUGGUAGUCCACACCGUAAACGAGGAUAAUUAGGGGUGGAAGGAUUGGCCCCCUUCAGGGCCGCAGUUUAACCCAAUAAGUAAUCCACCUGGGGAGUACGACCGCAAGGUUGAAACUCAAAAGGAAUUGACGGGGGCCCGCCACAAGCAGUGGAGUAUGUGGUUUAAUUCGACGCAACGCGAAGAACCUUACCAAGUCUUGACAUCCUGCGACGAUGCUAGAAAUAGUAUUUUCCUUCGGGACGCAGAGACAGGUGGUGCAUGGUUGUCGUCAGCUCGUGUCGUGAGAUGUUGGGUUAAGUCCCGCAACGAGCGCAACCCUUAUGGUCAGUUACUACGCAAGAGGACUCUGGCCAGACUGCCGUUGACAAAACGGAGGAAGGUGGGGAUGACGUCAAAUCAUCAUGCCCUUUAUGACUUGGGCUACACACGUACUACAAUGGCGUUAAACAAAGAGAAGCAAGACCGCGAGGUGGAGCAAAACUCAGAAACAACGUCCCAGUUCGGACUGCAGGCUGCAACUCGCCUGCACGAAGUCGGAAUUGCUAGUAAUCGUGGAUCAGCAUGCCACGGUGAAUACGUUCCCGGGCCUUGCACU